GACGAACGCUGGCGGCGUGCCUAAUACAUGCAAGUAGAACGCACAGUUUAUACCGUAGCUUGCUACACCAUAGACUGUGAGUUGCGAACGGGUGAGUAACGCGUAGGUAACCUGCCUGGUAGCGGGGGAUAACUAUUGGAAACGAUAGCUAAUACCGCAUAAUAUUAAUUAUUGCAUGAUAAUUAAUUGAAAGGUGCAAUUGCACCACUACCAGAUGGACCUGCGUUGUAUUAGCUAGUAGGUGAGGUAACGGCUCACCUAGGCGACGAUACAUAGCCGACCUGGGAGGGUGAUCGGCCGCACUGGGACUGAGACACGGCCCAGACUCCUACGGGAGGCAGCAGUAGGGAAUCUUCGGCAAUGGACGAAAGUCUGACCGAGCAACGCCGCGUAAGUGAAGAAGGUUUUCGGAUCGUAAAGCUCUGUUGUAAGAGAAGAACGGGUGUGAGAGUGGAAAGUUCACACUGUGACGGUAUCUUACCAGAAAGGGACGGCUAACUACGUG
rnacentral:rRNA from 1 species